GCUGUCACCAGUUGGCACUAACAAAAGGACCCUAGAAAACAGGAUUGUUUGUUUCUGGAGGGACUGGCUUCUAGAUGUGGAAGAGGGAGCAUCGUCACCACUUUCUUUAAGCCAGGUUUUGGCAUUUGCUUCAGGUUCAACCUCCAUUCAGAGGCUGGGUUUCCCUGUUGAACCAGCACUUGAGUUCCUGCAUCAACAGGAUAAUGAGCAUGCCAAAAUUUACCCUGAAGCAAAUACAUGUACUAUUGUUUUGAGGCUGCCAAUGCAUCGAAUGUUUGAGGACUUUGAAAUUUACAUGAAAGAGGGCAUUUUGCGGGCCCCCACAUUUGGGGUAAUGUAGUUCAGUUAAUGGCAACCCCAUUGUAUAUUGUUCUUUUUUUGUGUCCAGUGUUCUUUGCAACCCUAUUUUAUAUUGUUCUUUUUAGUUUCUAGAGUUCUUUGCAACCCCAUUGUAUAUUGUUCUUUUUAGUUUCUAGUGUUCUUUGUCAUGUAAAAACAUUUUUUGUGUAGUAAUUGUGGUAAAUAAAAUACUUUGUUCAUAGCA